UACGUAGGGUGCGAGCGUUGUCCGGAAUUAUUGGGCGUAAAGAGCUCGUAGGCGGUGUGUCACGUCGGCCGUGAAAACCUGCAGCUUAACUGUGGGCGUGCGGUCGAUACGGGCAUCACUGGAGUUCGGCAGGGGAGACUGGAAUUCCUGGUGUAGCGGUGAAAUGCGCAGAUAUCAGGAGGAACACCGGUGGCGAAGGCGGGUCUCUGGGCCGUAACUGACGCUGAGGCGCGAAAGCGUGGGGAGCAAACAGG
rnacentral:rRNA from 1 species